ensembl:lncRNA
CAGAUGACGAAGAUUUUAUAUCUAUAUAUAUCGAAGCAGUUAAACAAAAAUUUUACCCAGAAUUAUGGGUUUUUCCGAAUACUAGGUUUCAAAUAGUUGUUUAUAAUUUUAAAAACGAAAAAAAUUCUAUUUUCUCUUGGGCACAUUGGUCAUUUAGUAAUGCUUUUGCAUCUAGAGGUUGGCAAAGAAUGUUAAGUCAUUCUAAAAUAAAUAAAAGUACUGGUUUUUUAGAUGAGUCUGGUGGGUUAUUGAUUAAAGGAAAAGUCAAAAUAGCAUUUAGGAGUUUAUUAUCAAAGUGUUAUCGUUAUGUUCCUAAAUAUAUAUGGAGUUAUUCUUCAGAAAAAAUAUUAGAUAGUUAUAAACAGGGAAAUUUAAUAAUGCAAUUUUUAUUUAAGUCUUGCCACUUCAAACGUUUUUCUUGUUUGAAAAAUAAGUGUUGGCAUGUAUGCACUACUGACGAUGCUGAUCAAACGGAUGAGGGUAAGCGAACUGAUACUACUGACAAUAAUAAAACACACACUAAUAACAGGACUUAUAUUUACAAUAGGAAUAUUAAUACAACAACAAAAAUUACACAAGAACCAUUUUAUAUUAGUGAUGAAACGAAAGGGUGUAUAUAUAACAGAUAUGCAUUAGAUAUAUAUAAUUUUAAUUUGUUUUGGUCUCCAGAAUUUGUUAAAAAUUAUUUGAAUUUUAUUGAAGAUGAUAACACUGGAAAAACUAGUAAAGUAUGUACAAACUCAUUUUUACAACAUGUUAAUAGUAUAAUAAAAAAAAGAAAUAUUUUAAAUAAUGUAUACAUAAACGAAAAAACAAAUACAAAAGCUAUGAUUUUGAAUAGUGUGAAUAAUCCAAAUGAAGAAACAGUAUUAAUUCAAUGUGGUGACAAAAAAAUGCUCGAUCAAAAUACAUAUAGUCGGAUAUAUGUAUAUGAUGAAUUGAUAAAGAAAAGGAAGCUGAAUGAGAAGCAGAAUGAAUUAAAGAAUGUUGCAUUUGGAAAGUUGAGUGAAUAUAAGGAUGAUUUAAAUAGCUUGGAUAGUAAUGAAAAAGAUAUUAAUAUUGGCAGAAAAAGUACCAACAACCAACCGAACGAAUUGGAUGAUGACGUACUUGUGGGAGAAGACAGGCUACCCAUUUUGUCAUUGACUAAUUAUAUAAUUCCAAUUGUAGACUCAUUUAACGAUUGUGAUAAUUUAUCUAUUUUAGUCAUGUGUCUUUAUAACUUGGAGCUAUUUAGAAUCGCAGUUUUGAGAUAUAAUGCAAAAAUGUACAACUACAUGUUAUAUAAACAUAUAAAAAAAAAGAGAGAAGAAAAGAUUUACAAACUAAAUUAUGUUAUGAGUAUUUAUGGAAUAAAACCACAUCACACAAAAAUAGACAUUGUAAAAAUCAUAAAAGAAUAUAAUCAAAAAAAAAAAAUAGAAUAUAAACAGUAUGAACAGUUAGAAAAAGUUAUUUUGGGAAAAAUACAGAUGGUUAAAUAUAGUAUUAUUUUUAUAGGGCAUAUUCUAGAAAAUAAAAUUAAAAAUGUAAUUAAUGUAUUUCAUAAGAAAAAUAACAACAAUAUGGUUCAAAUAAUGGAUUGCGCUAGUGAAACAAUUAUACAUACUAUUGAAUUUGUAAACGUGCCAAGUUCUGACAUAGAUAAAAAUUUAAAUAUAAAUAUGGAUAACAUGAACGAAAAAAUAAAAAAUGUUAAUUAUUUAAUAAGCGCAAUUAACGAAAUGAUAAAUGACGUUGUAAAAAAAGCAUACAAUUUAAAUUACAUUUUUAAUGCUAGUAAAAUAAAAACAAAUAUACAAACUUUGAAUCAAAGCAUUGUUCAUAUUAAUGAAGAUAUUAAAAAAAUAAGUAAGCAAAUUUGUGUAGAUAGUUCGUUGAAAAGUGUUAUUGAUAAUUUUCUGAGUAGUUUUGAUUGUUUCGUGGCGGUAAGUAGAGAUAGUAACAAUCAGGCAGAGGGUAACAAUCAGGCAGAGGGUAACAAUCAGGCAGAGGGUAACAGCCAGACAGAGGGUAACAGCCAGACAGAGGGUAACAAUCAAGCAGAGGGUAACAGCCAGACAGAGAGUAACAGUCAGACUGAAAAUGUUUCCAAAAGCUACUGUGUACAGGACUAUUUAAACUUUUUAAAGGACAGCACACUUGACAAUCCUUACGAAUUAAAAAACGUUUCUUUCAAAUUAAUGAGCGACCUGAAUUCAUUUAAUAUGUUUACGCAUUUUAGGAAACAUAGUGAUAGUGUUAUAACUGCUUUACAAAGAAUCUUCAUAUGUAUGCAAAUGUAUUCGCUGGUCGUGUGUGCAAAACAAGGAAAAGAGUUUUUUAAAAAAAAUGAC